GUUAUAAUUCCAACUGUUGUGUUAGGAACUAUAUACACCUAUUAAUGAAAUGUUUGACAUACAAUUUAAUUUUUAUUUCUCUUUUCUAGGUAAAGAGUAGAGUAUAUCAAGUCACCGAACAGCAGAUUUCUGAGAAGUUGAAGAUUAUUAGGAAAGAAAAUACAGAACUUGUACAGAAAUUGUCAAAUUAUGAACAGAAGAUAAAGGAAUCAAAUAAACAUGUUCAAGAAACCAGGAAACAAAAUAUGAUUCUCUCUGAUGAAGCAAUUAAAUUUAAGGAUAAAAUCAAGACACUUGAAAAAAAUAAUGAAAUUCUGGGUGACACAGCUAAAAAUCUUCGUGUUAUGUUAGAAUCUGAGAGAGAACAGAAUGUCAAGAAUCA